CAAGGCGACGAUCCCUAGCUGGUCUGAGAGGAUGACCAGCCACACUGGAACUGAGACACGGUCCAGACUCCUACGGGAGGCAGCAGUGGGGAAUAUUGCACAAUGGGCGCAAGCCUGAUGCAGCCAUGCCGCGUGUAUGAAGAAGGCCUUCGGGUUGUAAAGUACUUUCAGCGGGGAGGAAGGUGUUGUGGUUAAUAACCGCAGCAAUUGACGUUACCCGCAGAAGAAGCACCGGCUAACUCCGUGCCAGCAGCCGCGGUAAUACGGAGGGUGCAAGCGUUAAUCGGAAUUACUGGGCGUAAAGCGCACGCAGGCGGUCUGUCAAGUCGGAUGUGAAAUCCCCGGGCUCAACCUGGGAACUGC
rnacentral:rRNA from 2 species